rnacentral:tRNA from 2 species
GGAGGGCUGCGAUAAUUGGUAGUCGGGCGGUCUUGAAAACCGUUGUCUCAGUAAUGGGAUUGGGGGUUCGAGUCCCUCGCCCUCCGCCA